ensembl:lncRNA
GAGGACACCUAAUGCCCGUCAGCUGUGCCCCGGGCCAAGCCUGCGGCCUGAAGACACGGUCGGCCCUGGGAAGUGAGGCGGCUUGUCGCCCUCUGCGGGCCAACUGGGAGAAUGCAGGCCACGCCCGCUCCCACUGCAGAGCGGCCGGGGUCUUUCCUGCCCGUCGUGCUCGAGGCACAACACUCUGGAAAUAAACGGGUCGAGGCCACUAUCCCAGGACUUGUGCAACCUAACUACAGGGUAAUUAGGAACCACAAAAGGAAUGUAGGAACAGACUUUACAGCUCAAACCAAAAGACACUCCAAGUUGUCUAAAGGCAAAUUUAAAAUAUAAAACUUUUUAAAAUUAUAGAAGAAAAUCGACAUGGCUGUGGCUUUUGUCAUGUAGACCACAAACUUUUAUUUCCAACACAUCACAUGAAAAUCCACAGAAAAGGGGAAAAAAUAGCAAACUUUAUAAAACUGAAAAUUGUACCGGUGAAAUCACUUAUCCAGAAAGUCAAAACCCAGGCCAGAAAUGAAGAAAAAAUAUUUGCAAACUACACAUGUGAUAAAGAACUUGUACCUGCAUAAUAUAAAGUGCUAUGAAACAAGCAGCUACGUUAAAAAAAUGGGUACCAGGAGCUUAUUUAACUAAUAUGCAGAGUACAUCAUGUAAAAUGCUGGGCUGGAUGAAACUCAAGCCGGAAUCAAGAUUGCCAGAAUAAAAUUAUCUCAUACGCAGAUGACACCACCCUUAUGGCAGAAAGCAGAGAGAAACUAAAGAGCCUCUUGAUGAAGGUAGAAGAGGAGAGUGAAAAUGCUGGCUUAAAACUCAGCAUUCAGAAAGCUAAGAUCAUGUCAUCCGAUCCCAUCACUUCAUGGCAAACAGAUGGGGAAACAGUGGAAACAUUGACAGACUUGUUUUCUUGGGCUCCAAAAUCACUGUGGAUGGUGACUGCAGCCAUGAAAUUAAAAGAUGCUUGUUCCUUGGAAGAAAAGCUAUGACCAACCUAGACAAUAUAUUAAAAAGCAGAGACAUCUGCUGACAAAGGUUGGUAUAGUCAAAGCUGUGGUUUUUCCAGUAGUCAUGUAUGGAUGUGAGAGUUGGACCACAAGGAAGCCUGAAUUGAUGCUUUCAAACUGUGGUGCUGAAGAAGACUCUUGAGUCCCGUGGACUGCAAGGAGAUCCAAUCAGUCCAUCCUAAAGGAGAUCAGUCCUGGCUGUUCAUUGGAAAGACUGAUGCUGAAGCUGAAGCUCCAAUAUUUAGGCCACCUGAUUCGAAUGAAGAACUGACUCCCUGGAAAAGAUCCUGAUGCUGGGGAAGAUUGAAGGCAGGAGGAGAAGGGGACGACAGAGGAUGAGAUGGUUGGAUGGCAUCACUGAUCAAUGGACAUGAGUUUGAGCAAACUCUGGGAGAUGGUGAUGGACAGGGAGGCCUGGCGUGAUGCAGUCCAGGGGGUUGCAGAGUUGGACACGACUGAGCGACUGAACAGCAGCCAGUGCCUCCACCAUCGCCUCCUCUGGGCCACCUUGCUCUAGAUGUGCCCAGGCGGCUUCGGGAGCCCAGUGUCUCCCGGCUCUCACCUCACCCCAGCGCUGCCCAGGGCUGUUUGUCAGAAACUGUGCUGGUUACAAAGAGAAGAUGCUCCUUCCCCAUGGCCCUCCCAGGGCAAGGGGCACUUUUAAACAGGCACUUCCAGGAUGGGAAGCCACCUGGGCAGAAGCCUUCCAGAACCCGACUCACCUGGGCAGCCCAUGGAGUUUAUCUGGCCUCCCCCAACCAGGCCUCCACAUCUCCCCUCCUCUCCCUCACUCCUGGGCUCCUCUCCUGGGGAGAGUUCUUUUCUUUUUUUAAGAUUCAUUCAUUUAUUUUACUGCUGGCUGUGGUAGGACUUUAUCACUGCACACGAGCCUCCUCUCUGGUUGUCGGGAGUGGGGGCUCCUCCUCGCCAAGGUCAGCGGGCUUCGCAUCGUGGCGCCUUCUCUUGCCUGGAGCUCAGGCUCCAGAUGGGCCAACUUCAGUAGUUGCAGUGCGUGGGUCCCAGCGCACAGGCUCAGCUGCUGGGGCGCAGCCUCACUCUCUCUGAGGCAUGUGGGAUCAUCCUGGCCAGAGAUCACCAGAGAUCGAACUGGUGUCCCAUGCUUUGCAAGGUGGAUUAAUAACCACUGGACCACCAGGAACGCAUGACAGGUCUUCUUGAAAUUGUUUCCCACUUAUAGGCCAGUUAACAUACUUAGCAGACAGACCAGAGCUGCAGCCCCACGUCCAUCCUGACCUUCAGGACACAGCUGGUCCGUGGACUUGGGACAGCAGGGCCCGUUUUCUGUAAAUGAGCCCCUGGUGGGCAAGGAUCGGCUGACCCGGGCAGCGUGACCCAGCUGGCCAGCCCUUCCCAGGUGUGCCUGCUUGAGGCCCUGGUUCCAGGCAGGAGGGCGCCUGCAGCGGUACCAGACAUCACCUUCUCUGCCAUCAGAGGCCGCAGGGCUGGGCUGGCGAGAGGGAAUGAGGGGCCGUGGCGUGUCAGGGGGUCGCCUGCACGGGGCUCUGCUGGGCCUUCUGCAGGAGUUGCUAGGCUGCCACUUGAUAAGGAAGAGGUUGUGUUGCUGGUACCUGCUGUUGGAAGUCUUCCCAGGCAGAGGAUACUGACUUCCAGGUUUAUCCACAUGGAAGCCUGUGUGAGAAUUACUUUAAAGUCCUUGCUUUUAAAUAUUUGCGGGCACAGCCUGGAGUGGAAUUGAGGGAUUCUUCCAUCCAAGUACUAACCAGGCGAUACCCUGUUUUUCCCUGCUGGUGCCAGUUUCUCAAGACUACAUGACCACCCGACCAUGAGACCCCUUUGACUAUGUGACCACAGGACUCCAGCUGUGGGCUAAGGAUAAACCCCUCUGGGGCACAAUUUCCCAUCGAUACGGUAUAAGAAGGGUUGGCUGUAACAAGAGAGCACUGGUUUCUCUCUAAAACCACUUUCUUUCUUCCUAUAAUAAAUAUUUCUCUGCCUGACUGUCCGGCUCACUCUCCUUUUCUCCAUGCUCGCCUUACAGCCAGGACUCAGAGUAGCAAAGUCAGGCCUCAGGAAGAGAAUGGAACCUCAGUGAGAAGCGAGCCGGAACUCACUGAGGUUGUAGCCAUGCCCCGGUGUGGAGUGGAGCCUGGCCUCAGUGAGGUCCAGAGCCGGGACUCAGAGUAGUCAAGUCAAUCCUCAGGAAGAGGGAGAAGAGAACCUCAGUGAGAAGCCAGCUGGGCUCAGUGAGAACCCUAGCCAGACCCCAGUGUGGGUGGAGCCAGUCCUCAGUCAGAGAGAAGCUGGGUCUCACUGAGGAGCAGAGCCAGACCUCAGAGAGGACCCGAGUCCAGUCUCUAUGUGGAGUGUAGCUGGGCCUCAGUGUAGAAUGGAGUCUUGCCUCAGAGAACCAAAUUCCGUCCUCAAGGAGGACCAGGCUGGGCCUGAGUGAAGAGUGGAGGUGAACCUUCACUCUCAGUGAAGGAACGUUGGGCUUCAGUGAGGAGGGUAGCUGAACCACAGUGAGGCCCAGAGCAGGACUCAGUGCUGGAGCUGAAUCUCAGUGAGGCCCAGAGCAGGACUCAGUGCUGGAGCCAGGCCCCGGUGCGGAGCAGAGCCAGGCCUACCUGAGGAGUGGCGCUGGCCCCAAGUGAGGAGGGGAGCCUGGCCUCAGAGUAGCAGUCAGGCCUCACGGAGGUGAACCAAACCUCGGUUAGAAGCAAGCCAAAUCUCUGUGAGGACCAGAGCCGGGGCUCACUAAGGACCUGAGCGUGGACUGGAGCUGUGCUUCACUGAGGACGAUACCGUGGCCUCACCGAGAACCACAGCCAGGCCCAUUGCAGGGCGGAGCUGUGCGGCAGUGCUGAGCGGAGCCAGGCCUCUGCAGGAGGAGCUGGGUCUCACGGAGCGGAGCCGAGCGGAGCCUGGCCUCAGUGCGGACCCUACCCGGGCCCCAGAGCACAUCACAGGACCGGAGUGGAACCUCAGUGAGGACGGGAGACAGGCCUCAGUGGGGACCAGAGCCGGUCCUCAUUGUGGACUGGAGCUGGUUCUCAGUGGAGAGCAGAGCCAGGCCUCAGAGGAGCAAAGUCAUGCCUCAAGGAGGAGCACAGCUGAACUGCAGUGAGAAGACAGCCUGGCCUCUGUGAGGACCGUAACCAGGCCCGUGUGGAGCAGAGCUGUCCUCACCGAGGAGGGAGCCGGACCUCAGGGAGCAAGGGAGGCACACGUGAUUGCGCAGUGGGGCCAGGCCUCACCGAGGACCACAGCCAGGCCCAGUGAGGGGCAGAGCCUUGCCGGGUCUCAGUGCGGAGAGGACCUGGCGUGCUGAGCUGAGCCGAGACUCAGGCAGGGGUGCAGCUGGACUUCAGUGAGGAGCAGAGCCAGCUCUCAGCGUUGAGGUCCGGAGCCAGGCCUCUGUGUGGACCAGAGCCGGGACGUAUGAGUACCGGAACCGGGACUCAGAGUAGCAAAGUCAGGCC